rnacentral:RNase_P_RNA from 1 species
GUGGCGGCGCACACAGCCCGAAAGAGCGUGUGUGAGGAAAGUCCGAGCUCCGCAGGGCAGGGAUAGCUGCUAACGGCAGCCGAAGGCGACUUUAGGGAAAGUGCAACAGAAAGAAACCGCCCCGGCCUUAUGGCAUGUGGGUAAGGAUGGAAAGGCGAGGUAAGAGCUCACCAGCGCACAGGAGACUGUGCGGCUAUGUAAACCCUAUCCGGAGCAACACCGCAAUGGGGGCAGAUACGGCUUGCCCGGCCGGCUCCCGACAAGGUGGCUGGAGCUGUGCGGCGACGCGCGGCCAAGAUAGAUCGUCACUCAAUACAGAACUCGGCUUAUGGUUUAG